rnacentral:rRNA from 1 species
UGCGUAGGCGGUUACGUAAGUCUGGUGUGAAAUCUCCCGGCUCAACUGGGAGGGUGCGCCGGAAACUGCGGAGCUUGAGCACGGGAGAGGAAAGCGGAAUUCCUGGUGUAGCGGUGAAAUGCGUAGAUAUCAGGAGGAACACCGGUGGUGUAGACGGCUUUCUGGACCGUUGCUGACGCUGAGGCACGAAAGCGUGGGGAGCAAACA